rfam:Eimeria mitis, Houghton, WGS project CBTT01000000 data, contig: Emh_contig6837_2
GCGGGCAUGGUCUAGUGGCUAUGACGUCCGCCUAACACGCGGAAGAUCCCGGGUUCGAUCCCCGGUGCCCGUA